UGAGACUGACCUGAGGAUGAGGAGGUCUGAGACUGACCUGAGACUGACCUGAGGAUGAGGAGGUCUGAGACUGACCUGAGACUGACCUGAGGAUGAGGAGGUCUGAGACUGACCUGAGACUGACCUGAGGAUGAGGAGGUCUGAGACUGACCUGAGACUGACCUGAGACUGACCUGAGGAUGAGGAGGUCUGAGACUGACCUGAGGAUGAGGAGGUCUGAGACUGACUCAUCUUAUUUUCAUGGAGGAAGUAAACAGUUAUGGAUAUUUUAAUAAAGAUCUGGUACCUGGUCCUGUCUCUGGUGUCUGUGGUUUCUGGCUUUGGUCAGCUUUCGUGUUUUAACCUCUAAAGCAGAGCAGAAUAUCCUAUAGAAAUGAAGCGUGGACAGAGGUUUGACUUCUUCAGACAGCUCUGUCUUUAUUAGCACAGAGAGCAGGACUACAGCUACGGUGGCUCUGAAGGGACUCUAAGUGGCGUUCUACAGUCAGACAUAAAUGAGGACGGAGAGGAAAUCACGUUCUUUAUUGAAGGAACCCUGAGGAAGUUCUGAGCUGACAGAUCUGAGGACUCCAGACUCAUCAGGAGGACCGACCAGAGAUGAUGGAGAGGGUUUUGUUAAACCAGUAUUCGUCCUUCACAUCCAUGAACU